rnacentral:tRNA from 1 species
GCGGGCGUAGCUCAGCGGUAGAGCAUCUGUUUGCCAUACAGAAGGUCGCGAGUUCAAAUCUCGUCGCCCGCUCCA